GCCUGAUGGCUCAGUUGGUUAAGCAUCUGACUUCAGCUCAGGUCAUAAUCUUGAGGUUUAUGAGUUCGAGUCCCAUAUAGGGCU
rnacentral:tRNA from 1 species